AAAAACAUGUCUUUUUGAAUUUAAUUUAAAGUCUAACCUGCCCACUGAUUUUAUAUUUAAGGGCCGCAGUAUUUUGACUGUGCAAAGGUAGCAUAAUCAUUUGUCUUUUAAUUGAAGGCUAGAAUGAAUGGUUGAAUGAAGUAUUAACUGUCUCAUUAUAAUAAAUUAAGAAUUUAGCUUUUAAAUUAAAAGGUUUAAAUUUAAUUAAAAGACGAGAAGACCCUAUAGAUUUUUAUAUUAAUUUAAAUAAUUUAAUUAAAGUAAUAAAAUAUAAAUUAAUUUAAUUAAUAUUUGAUUGGGGUGAUUAGAAAAUUUAAUAAACUUUUUUUAUUUUUAACAACAUAGAUUUAUGAAUACUUGAUCCAAUUUUAUUGAUUAAAAGAUUAAAUUACCUUAGGGAUAACAGCGUAAUUUUUUUAAAGAGUUCAUAUCGAUAAAAAAGAUUGCGACCUCGAUGUUGAAUUAAAGAUAAUAUUUGAAUGCAACAGUUUAAAUGUUAGGUCUGUUCGACCUUUAAAUCUUUACAUGAUCUGAG
rnacentral:rRNA from 1 species